AACGAACGCUGGCGGCGCGCCUAAUACAUGCAAGUCGAGCGAGAAGACGUAGCAAUACGUUUGUAAAGCGGCGAACGGGUGAGGAAUACAUGGGUAACCUACCCUCGAGUGGGGAAUAACUAGCCGAAAGGUUAGCUAAUACCGCGUACGCUCCUUGGACUUCGGUUCAGGGAGGAAAGCGAUGCCGAGGGUAUCGCGCUCUUGGAUGGGCUCAUGUCCUAUCAGCUUGUUGGNGAGG
rnacentral:rRNA from 1 species